rnacentral:rRNA from 1 species
UGGGGAAUUUUGCACAAUGGGGGAAACCCUGAUGCAGCGACGCCGCGUGAUUUAGAAGGCCUUCGGGUUGUAAAAAUCUUUUCUAUGGGAAGAAAAUGACAGUACCAUAGGAAUAAGGACCGGCUAAUUACGUGCCAGCAGCCGCGGUAAUACGUAAGGUCCGAGCGUUGUCCGGAAUCAUUGGGCGUAAAGGGUACGUAGGCGGGUAAGCAAGUUAGAAGUGAAAUCCUAUAGCUCAACUAUAGUAAGCUUUUAAAACUGCUCAUCUUGAGGUAUGGAAGGGAAAGUGGAAUUCCUAGUGUAGCGGUGAAAUGCGCAGAUAUUAGGAGGAAUACCGGUGGCGAAAGCGACUUUCUGGCCAUAACCUGACGCUGAGGUACGAAAGCGUGGGUAGCAAACAGG